ACUGUCGGUCGGCGGCUAAGGAGGGGAGGCACCUGCAUCUGGGGCGCGGCGAAUCCUCGCGUGCGCCAGGCCGCCUGGGGUAGUCGCCGAGACUGCGCCGGCCAGCGGGGCCGAAACCUAAUCAGGAGCUGAGCUUUGAUGGCGGCUUCUGGAGGGACAAAGAAGGCGCAGAGCGGUGGGAGGAGGCUGCGAGAACCUAGCUCCCGCCCCAGCCGACGUGCGAGACAAAGGCCCCGGCGCGGGGCUCUUCGGAAGGCCGGGAGGUUCCUGUGACAAUGCGAGUCUGCGCCCCACGCUCCCGCACCGUGAUGCCGAGGCCAAAUGGCUAGAGUGGGCCCAGGCAUCAGCAUUUCUGUUUGGCAGCCGGGCAGUUGUGGUGCACGUUUUGAGGAACUACUAAAGCCUGCCUGUGAUGAAAAAGGCAAAAGCUGACUUCACCAAAAUUACUCCCAGGGAGACUUCUGCAUUUGGCUGGAAGGACAUUUGAGUAAACCGCUGAGGCUGGUGGUUGAAACAUAAUCCUCUAAGGGAGAUCGGUUCCGAUACCCUGAGUUAGGGACGCUUGCCUGGGCAGAGCUAAGGGGAGAAUGAUCAAAAGCCAAGCUCUGUCCCCGUCAGCACGUCACCCUCCCUCACUGUAAUCCCUGACUGUUUUCUCUAAAUGAAGAAUUAUUUAGAGAAUAUAAAUUAGAAGGGCCGCCACGUCAGAAUUGCCUGAGUGGGAGCAGUCUUUCCAGCCUCGAAAAAUGUUUAAACAAUAUGCAGAUGACCUAGCACAAAUAAAGAAUGCUAGCAACCGCU
rnacentral:lncRNA from 1 species